rnacentral:lncRNA from 1 species
AUGCAACGACUGAAGAACACAGAAGCCCUAACUGACAGUUCGGCUGGAGUUGAAAGCAGUGCAGAGGCAAGAGAAGGUGAAGGGGGCAUCUCCCAGGGCACGAGUGAUGACGGAGAAAAAUUGACGAGUGAUGAAGGGGUGACAUCAAGCAGCGUGUCCUUGGAAGUUACAGUUGAAAACGCAUCCACGGCCAUGAGUCAAGAUGAGGGCACCGUCAAAGUCAAAGAAAAACAGGAGACAGUGAAUAUAUCUGUUGGCCCUACUGUUGGAACCUCCCCGUCGGAUGUUCGGGACCCUAUCAUUCAGACUUGUUCCAUCCCAAAAACUGCACAGGUAGAGCCUAGCAAGGCGGGCAUAAAGAAGGGAGCAGGGGAUGGAACCAGGAAAAUUGCUGCUAACUUUGGUCAAAAUAAAGUUGUUACCGAGGUCAAACAAACCUCGACAGUUUCCAGUGAUCCACAAAAGCAAGGAGAAAGUUCUUCAGGUAUUAAUCUUGAGCUAAAACAUGCAUCCACUCUGCAUGAUCCUAACAGCAAAUGUAAAAUGGCUGCAAAGGUUCAUGGCACACAGCCUACAGGAGCUGCUGCCGCCUCAAUAUCGCCAGAGAAAAGACCAGCAACCCAAAGCGUACAGAGAGAUGAAGGUGAUGGAAGCUGGUGUCAGACACAAGUGCCUGAAGCAGUGGCAGAGAAAUCAGUGGUCAUAACGAGUGCCCCAUUGGUGGGGCCAGGGGCUGGGGCAGAUACAGGCUUGGGAGUUAGGCUAAGAGGUGAUGUUACUCCUGCAAGCAGAAGGGAUAGGGAUGCCAAGAGAGAAGACAGAUAUAGUGCUGAGUUCAGCAUGGCCCGGACAGGAGCUGUGCCAGGACAGGGCUGUUACACUGCAGGGAGCUCUGCAAGUUUGGGCCGGCAUGCCACACCAUACAAUCCAGAAAGUGUGGGUGUGGGGUUAGGGAUGGGAGGAAGUUAUGGGAGCCCGUACACCCACUUGUACGGAAGUGGAGGAGGAGUUGGGAUGUAUGGAACAGGUCUUCACCAUGGAGGAGGGGUAAGCAGUGCCACAACCGACUGGCAGAUGGACAGUGUGAUUGAGCAGAUAGAGAAACAAAUGGCCGCCGUACUUGAAAAGAUUGAGGGAGACAUGCCCUCACUGCUCGAGCAAAUAAGUGACUGCCCUGCUGAAUCCUUAUGUACCAGGAGCACACAUGCCUCUCCUUCCACUUCCCGCACACAUUCCACACAGCGCUCCUCAACUUCAGCAUCCACAACUCCUCCACCACUUCCCACAUCUCCAAGACCUGCUCUGCCCUCUCUCCCUCACCUUGCCAUCCCUCCUCCUUCCUACCCCCCACCCUCACCACCCACACAAGAUUCACCACAUGCUGGUGGAGAAUCGGAAGAAGGUGAGGGACAGAAAAGUGUCACUCAAACUAGCCAAUCCCCCAAGGGUGGAUUUGGCCGUGGGCUUUGA